rnacentral:rRNA from 1 species
UACGGAGGGUGCGAGCGUUGUCCGGAAUCACUGGGCGUAAAGGGCGCGUAGGUGGCGCGGCAAGUCAGCGGUGAAAGCCCGAGGCUCAACUUCGGGUCGGCCGGUGAUACUGCUGUGCUUGAGCACUGUAGAGGCAGGUGGAAUUCCGGGUGUAGCGGUGGAAUGCGUAGAGAUCCGGAAGAACACCGGUGGCGAAGGCGGCCUGCUGGGCAGUUGCUGACACUGAGGCGCGACAGCGUGGGGAGCAAACAGG